rnacentral:lncRNA from 1 species
GCAGGAGAGAAGGAAGACCCUAGCUGCUCUCUGCGCAGGACUGUGAUUUGCAUAUUGCAGGACCUGGGCCCAGGUGGUGAGACCGGAGGUGCCAUCGUGCUUGACGUCUGUGUGGCCGGCCAGCUGGACCAUUGCGCUCAGCCACACUCAGCUCCAGGAGGCCACAGAUCUCUGACUCAGAUCUCGGCGAGUAGCCCUGACAUCUAUUACCCCAGAAAGAGAUUUGAUAUCGGGCCUAAUGGCUUUUCUGAGCUGAGCCAGUUCAGAAGAGAAGUUGUGACUGAGACCAGGAGAGGGUCAGAAGCCCCCUGGAUGCACCAUGCAAAGUGGGUCCACAGGAGGGGAAAAGAUAUGAUUUAACCCAGUAUUUUCAAAAGAGAAACAGA